AAACCAUGAAUCGGGCAUUUGCUAAUUAAUUAUUUGAAUCUCUCCCAAGCUUCAUACAAUGUUUCUUCCUCGGAUUGCCAAAAAGAUGUAAUGUCAUUCCUUAACUU
rfam:Gossypium hirsutum cultivar TM-1 chromosome 24, whole genome shotgun sequence